UAGGGAAUCUUCGGCAAUGGACGAAAGUCUGACCGAGCAACGCCGCGUGAGUGAAGAAGGUUUUCGGAUCGUAAAACUCUGUUGUUAGAGAAGAACAAGGACGUUAGUAACUGAACGUCCCCUGACGGUAUCUAACCAGAAAGCCACGGCUAACUACGUGCCAGCAGCCGCGGUAAUACGUAGGUGGCAAGAGUUGUCCGGAUUUAUUGGGCGUAAAGCGAGCGCAGGCGGUUUCUUAAGUCUGAUGUGAAAGCCCCCGGCUUAACCGGGGAGGGUCAUUGGAAACUGGGAGACUUGAGUGCAGAAGAGGAGAGUGGAAUUCCAUGUGUAGCGGUGAAAUGCGUAGAUAUAUGGAGGAACACCAGUGGCGAAGGCGGCUCUCUGGUCUGUAACUGACGCUGAGGCUCGAAAGCGUGGGGAGCAAACAGG
rnacentral:rRNA from 1 species